GACCGCUUAGUGAUAAAUCUUAUCAGCAUCAAGAAAUACAAGACAUAUUGCAGUUUCUUUCGGUCAACGAUUACCAGCAUCCAAUCUCCAUGAAGAAAAUGACGAUUCCAACGAGCAAAGAGUUCCUGAAAGUAUUUUCCGUUAGUAUGUUGAUCUCUGUUGAAUCAUUUCACGUUGGUGACCAGUGUGUGUAUUAGUUGAGAAAAUAUAUUCAAAUUUUUUCUGGAAAAACAUACAUCCUGUCUCACAAUCAAAUUGAUACUAGUAUUUAUAUGCAGCUUCUGGGCAUCCAAUCGAAACAAAUACAGCAUUAAUAUGAUGCAGCAUUGAUAUAAAACAUCAUAUUGCUAUCAUAUGACAAAUAUUCCAAUUUGCAUUCUAGUAAUCAAUGUAUAACAUAAUUCACACAAUGUUUGUGACCUACCGAGCCUGAAAUCUCUAUGAACUUUGCAAUUUACUUUGCAGUUGUAUUUUACAGUUCCUUUAUAGCCAUAUCAGUCCAACGGACACAUAAAAACUAAAAGAAAA